CUUCUGUUGUUGAGUAUGACUCCUGUGGCCUGGCCGGGGGUUCAGGCUGCAGACCCAGAGCUUCUGCUUGUGCAUAACUGGGACCCCCCAGGCGUGGGGGUCCUUUCAACUGCCAGCGACAAGG
rnacentral:snoRNA from 1 species